rnacentral:rRNA from 1 species
UUCAGACGAUGCGUCAUGCAUAUCAAUAAGCGGAGGAAAAGAAACUAACAAGGAUUCCCUUAGUAACGGCGAGUGAAGCGGGAAGAGCUCAAAUUUGAAAUCUUCAAGGUUUUACCUUGACGAAUUGUAGUUUAAAGAAGUGUUUUCUGCUGAAGUUUUGGUAAAAGUUCUUUGGAAUAGGACAUCAUAGAGGGUGAGAAUCCCGUAUUUGACCAUUAUUUUCAGCUGUGUGAUACACUUUCAAAGAGUCGGAUUGUUUGGGAAUGCAGUCCAAAAUGGGUGGUAAAUUUCAUCUAAAGCUAAAUAUUGGCGAGAGACCGAUAGCGAACAAGUACCGUGAGGGAAAGAUGAAAAGAACUUUGAAAAGAGAGUUAAACAGUACGUGAAAUUGUCAAAAGGGAAGCGUUUGACACCAGUGUUGUUUUCCUCGAAAAUCAAUUAAAAAGAGUUAGAUUUUGUUGUGUAUUGACCUUAACAGCUUCACUGUACAUUUUUCGUUGUCUUUUUUAAUGCACUUUUCGUUUAACAAGUCAACAUCAGUUUCUUUUGUUGUAAAAAGGUCAUUGGAAGGUGGCUUUCUUUUCGGAGAAAGUGUUUAUAGCCUUUGACUCCUGCAAUCGGAGAGACUGAGGUCUGCAGCGUAGAUCCUUCGGGGUUAGAUACAUUUGUGCUAAGUUAUAGCUUUUUAUAGACAACUUGUUGACUAUGAUUAGUCUUGUAGCUUACUCGCUUAUGCUAUUUUACCUACGCUUAGGAUGUUGAGUCGUAGAGCACGCAG